AUACGGAAGGCAGCAGUGGGGAAUCUUGCACAAUGGGGGCAACCCUGAUGCAGCGACGCCGCGUGAACGAUGAAGCCCUUCGGGGUGUAAAGUUCUUUCGGCAGGAACGAUAAUGACGGUACCUGAAGAAGAAGCUGCGGCUAACUACGUGCCAGCAGCCGCGGUAAUACGUAGGCAGCAAGCGUUGUUCGGAGUUACUGGGCGUAAAGAGUGCGUAGGCGGUCUUUUAAGUUUGGUGUGAAAUCUCCCGGCUCAACUGGGAGGGUGCGCCGAAAACUGGAAGGCUUGAGGAUGGGAGAGGCAUGCGGAAUUCCUGGUGUAGCGGUGAAAUGCGUAGAUAUCAGGAGGAACACCUGCGGUGUAGACAGCAUGCUGGACCAUUUCUGACGCUGAGGCACGAAAGCGUGGGUAGCAAACAGGAUUAGAUACCCCGGUAGC
rnacentral:rRNA from 1 species